AGUGUAGUGGCGUGAUCUUGGCUCACAACAACUUCUGCUUCCCACAUUCAAGCGAUCCUCCCACCUUAUACUCCUGAGUAGCUGGAACCACAGGAAUUCUAAUUGGAACAGACAAAAACCCAAUACAUGUUUAAGCAGUAAAGUAUUCAUCAGGUCACAAAAAGAGGAGCAAGAGGAGCUGACUCUUUAUGUCAUAUCUUGGCCUUGUAAUUUGAUUCUUUGCCAACAUGCAUGGUUUUUCUCCAUAGGCUGUGCAUUGG
rnacentral:lncRNA from 1 species